UACGGAGGAUCCAAGCGUUAUCCGGAUUCAUUGGGUUUAAAGGGUGCGUAGGCGGAAUGAUAAGUCAGUGGUGAAAGCCCUCAGCUUAACUGAGGAACUGCGUCUGAUACUGGAUGGCUUGAGAUUGGGAGAGGGAUGCGGAAUUCCAGGUGUAGCGGUGAAAUGCGUAGAUAUCUGGAGGAACACCGGUGGCGAAGGCGGCAUCCUGGACCAACACUGACACUGAGGAGCGAAAGCCAGGGGAGCAAACGGG
rnacentral:rRNA from 1 species